GACGAACGCUGGCGGCGUGCCUAAUACAUGCAAGUUGAGCGCUGAAGGUUGGUACUUGUACCAACUGGAUGAGCAGCGAACGGGUGAGUAACGCGUGGGGAAUCUGCCUUUGAGCGGGGGACAACAUUUGGAAACGAAUGCUAAUACCGCAUAAAAACUUUAAACACAAGUUUUAAGUUUGAAAGAUGCAAUUGCAUCACUCAAAGAUGAUCCCGCGUUGUAUUAGCUAGUUGGUGAGGUAAAGGCUCACCAAGGCGAUAAUACAUAGCCGACCUGAGAGGGUGAUCGGCCACAUUGGGACUGAGACACGGCCCAAACUCCUACGGGAGGCAGCAGUAGGGAAUCUUCGGCAAUGGACGAAAGUCUGACCGAGCAACGCCGCGUGAGUGAAGAAGGUUUUCGGAUCGUAAAACUCUGUUGGUAGAGAAGAACGUUGGUGAGAGUGGAAAGCUCAUCAAGUGACGGUAACUACCCAGAAAGGGACGGCUAACUACGUG
rnacentral:rRNA from 1 species